rnacentral:rRNA from 1 species
CCUACGGGUGGCAGCAGUGGGGAAUAUUGGGCAAUGGGCGCAAGCCUGACCCAGCAACGCCGCGUGAAGGAAGAAGGCUUUCGGGUUGUAAACUUCUUUUAAGAGGGAAGAGCAGAAGACGGUACCUCUUGAAUAAGCCACGGCUAACUACGUGCCAGCAGCCGCGGUAAUACGUAGUUGGCAAGCGUUGUCCGGAUUUACUGGGUGGAAAGGGCGUGCAGCCGGGAAGACAAGUAAGAUGUGAAAUCCCGCGGCUCAACCGCGGAACUGCAUUUGAAACUGUUUUUCUUGAGUACCGGAGAGGUAAUCGGAAUUCCUUGUGUAGCGGUGAAAUGCGUAGAUAUAAGGAAGAACACCAGUGGCGAAGGCAGAUGACUGGACGGCAACUGACGGUGAGGCGCGAAAGCGUGGGGAGCAAACAGGAUUAGAUACCCUUGUAGUC